rnacentral:rRNA from 1 species
UAGGGGAACCUGUCUCUAGUAAUUU